AAUCAACGCUGGCGGCGUGCCUCAGACAUGCAAGUCGAACGCGAAAGUUCCCUUCGGGGGAUAAGUAGAGUGGCGUCCGGGUGAGUAACACGUAGGUAAUCUACCUUUGGGUGGGGAAUAACAACCGGAAACGGUUGCUAAUACCGCAUAAUGCAGCGGCACCACAUGGUGACAGUUGUUAAAGCGGGGGAUCGAAAGACCUCGCGUCUAAAGAGGAGCCUGCGGCGGAUUAGCUAGUUGGUAAGGAAUGGCUUACCAAGCUACGAUCCGUAACCGGCCUGAGAGGGCGGUCGGUCACACUGAC
rnacentral:rRNA from 1 species